CUCGGGGGGCGCCCUGUCUGCGCCCUCCCCACGCCGGGACCCUUCGACUCCACCAAGCCCUGGGAACGAAGAGUGAGUCAUUCGGUUGACAAUUUCCUGCUUCAUUCCUAAGGGGACUCUUCUCCCUCACCAAGAGAGGCUGCUGCUGGCUGGGACAGUUGCUGCGUCCACACCUUCUACUUUUCCUCCACAUUCAGAACUGUGCUGUGUCCCCAGGAGGGGUGGAACCCGAAUACUGACUGCCCACCAGCUGCCCAGCUCGCUCGUGGCCUGUGCUAUUUUUUUCAGCGAGUGGUGGUGAUUCCAUGAGCCACCAUCUAUGACGAUGACGCCGACCGAGCAGCCACUGCGUGUGCCAGACUCUCACUGCACACACCCCCACCCCCGCCUUGGGUUAGUUGAGUUCCACAGCUGCUCUCCGAGGAGGACAUUGUGAUACCUUCAUGACCAUUUACAGAUGGGGCUAGCGAGAUGUAGAAAGAAAGCUUAGAAAAGCACGUUUCCUUGCCCCAGAUCAUCCAAGUGGCAAGAGGUUGCCUGGAAGAAGGACCACACAUCAUCCUGUAUGCCGAUCGCUAGGCAGCGCUACCUCGAGAACGCCGCAGCUCUAGGCUGCUGGCAUGAGAAGGGAGUGGGCAGGUCAGUGAGCCCAGAGGGGCCAGCCUGGUCCCAGCCCUUGCUGAGGACAAUGCAAAGGGACAAAAUCAUCAUUCUGCAAAUCGUUUUAGCCAUUUCGCUGGGGAUGUUUUACAGCCUUACCUCGCAUGAUAUAUACCACAAUAAAUAUCAGGUAGAUUGAAAAGUUAAAUAUAGGAAAUAAACACUGCAAAAAAAAAAA